rnacentral:misc_RNA from 1 species
GUAGGUGAACCUGCGGAAGGAUCAUUACAGAAUAAACCUGGCUUGGUUGUUGCUGGCUCUCUCGGGAGCAUGUGCACGCCGGUCACUUUUAUCUUACCACCUGUGAACACUUUGUAGAUCUGGAGGCAUCUUCACAGACUCUUUUGUCUGUGGUUUUUGGAAGCUGUCGUUCGACUCUUCCUGGCCUUCAGGUUUAUGUCUUUACAUCUACACCAUAAGCAUGUAAACGAAUGAAAUCAAUGGCAGCUUCAUUGCAGCCUAUAAAACUUAAACAACUUUCAGCAACGGAUCUCUUGGCUCUC